GAGAAUCAAGAACAUUAUUUAGGUGACACUCUAGAGAUGAACUCUUCUCCAGCCUUAGUGACUAUGGUACUCUUAGUGCUUGGACGAACCCAUGGAGACUCAGUGUCCCAGAUGGAAGGCCAAGUGACCCUCUCAGAGGGGGCUCCCCUGAAUGUGAGCUGCUCCUAUGAAACCACAAGGUACCCUGUUCUUUUCUGGUAUAUUCAGUAUCCUGGAGAAGGUCCACAGCUCCUCCUGAAAGCCACGAAGGCCAGUGAGACGGGACGCAACAAAGGUUUUGAAGCCACAUACCACAAAGAUCCAAAUUCCUUCCACUUGGAGAAAUCCUCUGUCCACGAGUCAGAUUCAGCUAUGUACUACUGUGCUCUGAGUGACACAGUGACAGAAACUGCAGGGGGAGCUGAGCACAAACUCUGAGCAUAAUAAGGGCUCUGGCUGCUGAGUGUCUCUGACUGUUUGAUCCACUGGUGGAUUUAUUAAAUAAUAUCAAAUACACAGUACC